GUGUGUGUGUGUGUGUGUGUGUUUAACUGUGAAUCAAACCUCUUGUAGUAAACAGACCACAUAGCUUAAAUAAAUAAACAUUUAGUUUCUUCAUCAAAUGUAAAAUGCAUGUACAGGUUUUAUAUUAUUUAGCGAACUAAAUAAAAAUAAUUUUAUGUGAUUCUCAAUUUUUUAUGAGUUACUAAUAUAGGGUGAUACUGUUAGUGGAAGGAUAUACUCAAUCUAGAUCUCUUUGACAAGGAAUGAAAUCUUCUGUAGAUUAAACAUUCAAAUUACAAGGCUUUUGAUUUAUGUCCAAACAGAAAAGAUAAAGAUAAAUAAGGAAGGAACAUUUUGUGUGACAAUUUUGAUAGCCUAAUUUGCCAUUUAAAUCUUUAUGAAUAAAGAUAAAACAAGAUGAUGAAAACUGAAAACAAAACAGUAUUCUUUCUUAUUUGCAAGGACCAUGGGUUUCCAUAAAUUAUUUUCAUAUUAAGGUGUUUUAAAUUGAUGACACAAAGCAAUGGCAAAUCUAUUAGUGAGUCAGUAAAUUGAUGAGCAAGCUUAUUGAGUACACUUUGUAUGUAGAACUCCUCACUGGCUAUUUUAAGAAAGGCAUUGUCAAUAUCAAUGCUGAUGACUACCCUUGGGAAUAAACUGGUAACAUUUAGAGUUUCCAAAAUAAAGCCAAGCCUGCUUCAAAAUUUUCCUGUUACAUGCUCUUUUCAAAUUCUUGUAAUACAAUAUUUGGAAACUAGGGCUUAUAUUUUAAUAAUGCAAUUUACUUUUGAGUAAGAAAAAGAAUUCAUUUUAUAAUACUGCUUGUUUUGAUAUACCAUCAAAUUUGAAAUAAAAUAGGAUAUUUGAGGGUCCUUUGCACUCAGUUAAAUUGAGUUGGACUUGUUAAAAAAUUGACUUUCAUGAUCUUUCACUUUGAUAAUGUGGAACUGGCUUAUUGACCAUUCAAAAAGGAAGGAAAACGCUAAUGUUUGGAAACAGACAUGCUGUACAGCUUCAAUCCUUAGCCUAAAAAUAAGGAAUCUUUUCUGAAACCUAGCAACAUUAGUCAGACCUUAAGGAAACCUUGAAAUUUAUUCCAGAGGUUGUUUUCUGUCUUUGACCAAAGCUGCCAGGCUUGUUUGAGAUGGCAAUGAAAAACUUACAUAAGGCAUCUGAUUCUGAGAAAGGGAUUGCUUACAGGUACAAGGAAGAAUUUCUAUAUUUCAAACAGAAAUUUAGAAGACCUUUUAAUUCUAUCACUUAAGAAGGGAAAAUUGUUAUCAUUUAAAUAAACCUUGCUGUUUUCAGGUUGAUAAUUUAAUCAUUUUAACAGAAAACUCAGUCUCUUGUGUUCAGAGCAUUUAGGAAAUCUGACCUCCUACAACAAGCCUUAUUCCAUCAAUGGAAUGGAAUGGAAUGUUAUGAUUUCCUUCUAUACAUACUAUACUUGUGGUUUUCCUUUUUGUAUAAUGAAGCUGCUGACCUCGAUGGACUUAGAACCUCUUUCAGGUUGUUAAAAGACAAACUAAUAACACGUUUAGAAGUGAAACUCUUAACUGGCUCUUAUUUGUGAUCCUAGAAUUGGGCAACACGUCAUCCUAUAAAGUGUUCGAAUGAACUGAGCUACAGAGGUUAGUUUUGUAGACAAAGAGCUGAGGAAAGCAGAAACAGAGAAUAAAAAUCAGAUUGGUUGUUUCAAAGUUAUUUUCCUUGUAAGUGUUAAAACAGAGGGCACUUCCUUAUCAUGUUGGCUAUAACUGGCUUGUUUGGGAAUUUGGCUAUUAUCUCUCACUCUCCUGACUUCUUGGAAGAUCAGAUAACUUAUUUUUUGGCUUAGUGACAUGGAACUUUAUAGCAUGAGUGACUGUUUUGGUUUGGUCUGUUGGGUCUAGUGCAGGAGUUCAGUCCAAACCAAUAGUCUCAUAUACAUUUUAUUUAAUAAGCUCUAAUGGUUGAAAGAUUUUCCAGUUUGUUUUUUAUUUUUCACUCACAUAAUCCAUAUUUACUAAGAUUUUAAAACUGAAUAUACAUUAUUCAUUAGUAUUUGUACAACUGUCUAAAUGACUUUAUGUUGACUUGUGUUGCUACUGUCUAGUUAAUAUUAGAAUUUCUGGGGAAGCAAGUAUGUUUUAUUUGUUUGGUACCAGAACGUAAUCCAUUGAAAUGUGUUGUCGAAAAAGAAGUUGAAAACUUUGUGUGUGUAUGUGAAUAGACUAAUGGUAUGAUUUUCAAGUUCUUGACAUAAAAUGUAUAUGAAUGUGAUUGUGGGAGAGUGGCUAGAAGAAAACAGAAAUGAGACUGGGGAGAGAGGUGACACGUGUUAAACCAAAAUUUCCAUUUCCUUAAACUUUGUACCGUCUCGAUGUUUGAUCCAAUUUGCCAAAGUGGAGGAAGCAGAGCAUUAGUCUCUUACCUGCUAAUAUGUUUUGGAUUUAUGUCAUUUGCUAUUUUUUCCAAAGAGUCUGAAAAUUUCCAAGGUUAGAACUGUAAAUCAAUGACUAAGACAGAUGGACUAAAGAAAGAGAAGUACUGCUAUACGAUUUUAAUCUGAGUUCUGUUUACCAUCUCCUAGAAAAAGAAUUAUACAGGGGCACAGAGAAUACCUGAAAUCGAGAACAUGGCCAUUUGGAAGUCCAUGAAAUAGCAGAAUGUGGAAUUCUACUUUCAGUAUACAAAUUAUUUUGAGGAGUUUAUGAUAGUAGUACUUGAAUUAGAUGAAAAAGCCCCUGAGUUAGCACUGUGCUUAGCAUGUCUGUUGGGCUACAGAUGACAGGAGAACAUCAAAGAGUCUGGUUUAGUUACUUUCUUGUUUGUAUGAUUUCUGCUCCCCUCCAACUUUGCUAUGCCAUCUCUCACCAUGAUAUUUACUAAAUAAUAUAUAAUUACAUUAAUGAGACCUUUGAAUUAAUAAUCAUCUAAUUUGAAGGCUAACUGGAAUGUUAUCUUUGGAGUGGCUAUCAGUUUUAAACAUUACUUUAGGGAACAAGUCAUCUUUGAAUAGUCUUCUGUCAUCCUUGUCUAAGUGGCCCCUCCCCAGUCUGAAACAACUACAAGUAGCUUGACAAUUAUGUGUCAUUGUAGCAUCUUUUAUUUCCAUUCAUUUUAAUGAGGUUAUGUUUUUUCUGUUCUUCUGUAAGCUUCUUGAGAAUACACGUGAUGUAUUUAUUUAGUACCUAUAAUCUGACCCUGAUUCCAGGACAUUCCUAUAGAAGCUAUAUAAUGCUUGGUGCAUAAAUGACAGUCUAAGUGAAUAGAUAAAUUCUACCUGUUCUCUGAAGUUACCUAAUUCAUUGUAACAUUUUUACUGGGAUACCCUUAGAAAUUAGACCCUGGCAUGCUUUGUGUUUUGCAUUUCUUCUUACACUGUUUCGUUCACUCAAAUUGUUAUCAAAUAACUGGAAAAUUUACUCACAGAAACAAACUAAUUACUUCUACUUACAAGUACCCUAUCAUUAGGACAAAAUGUGGUUACAACUAAAAAUAGCAACAAUGUAUUCAAGAUACAAACAUAUUCCACCAUCCAACCACAUCACAAAGUCCCGCUUGGAGUCUCACAAUUGUACAAGCCAAACUCACUCACAAUUCCCUGGGUGCCAAGAGGUCUCUGCUGGUACAUCCUGGUUACAAGCCUUGAUAUUAUUGUAUCGUUCUUCUUUUCCUCUAACCCCCUAGGUUCUCCUGUAUAUCCUUCCAUUAUGCUUCCCUCUAUGCUGAAUGGCUGGUUUCCCUCAUGAAAUGAGUUAUUUCCUAGGACAUUGGGAACCCAUAGAUCAUUAGGGAUACUCAGUCAUUUAUAGAAAAGGCUUUCAUUCCUAUUCGCAUUAGUCCAGUAAUUUCUAUACUCCUUAAGAACUUUAUCUGUCAUGAAAAUACCCCACCUUCUAUUGUCUUGAAGGACCAGCAGUUUUUAAUCUUUGCUCUGUCACCAUAGGGCUGGACUUUUGUCACCUAGUAGAUAGCAUAUCAACUACUAGGAAACUUUUGUAAAAGAACAACAACAACAAAAACCUGUUAUUUUUCUGAAUACUUUAUUCAAACAGCGAGUCAUGAAGUUUUCAAAAAAAAACAAAGAAUUAUCAGCAGUCAGUCAUUACAUGCACAUUGACUGUAUGUUCUAGAUUUUCGGUUUAUAUUUUAACUAUUUUAUUCCACCGCCCCCAUAGAUAUCUCACAUUUAGGAUAUUUAUUGAUUUAUUCCAUAAAUACGAUAACAAUAUGAUCAUGAAUGAUAACAAUUUUGAACCUUAUUAGGAAGAGAGGUAAAACUUAAGUAGCCAGAUGUUGUUAGAAUGAAAAAAUUUGUUUUGAAUAGAAAUAUUCUCCAGAUUUGUUUUUAAGGGCAGAAGGAAAGUGAGUGGGACAGUCAUCAUCAUUACCAAGUAAUAUAUGAUUGCCAGAUUUUUCAAAACUAGCCAAAUAUUGAUUGGAAAAAAAUUUUUGAAAGGCAAAAUUAAACUAUUCUCAAAUGUUUUAAGAUAUUCCUGAGCUAAAUUUUAAUGCUAAGAACAGAUAGUUGCAUUUAAUGUUUAGAGCAGAUAUCCUUUGGAAUGUACAAUGGUGUUUUUGAGAAAUGUUAUUAGCUUUAGGACCGGAGAUUUUAGUAUUUUCACAUUCAUUCUCCUAGUCACAUCAAUUAGUUUCGGCCAAAACUACUUUUUGAGCAUCCAUUGAGUGCAGAGUGUGAGCAAGGCCCUUAUGCAACUGUAGCUCUUGAGCUGUGAAUAAGAAAUAGGUUGGUUACAGUUGGCUGUCUAAACCAUGUUCUAGGUGUUGGAAUUGGGUGGUUUCAGUGGGCUACAUUUUUAAUAGGCAGGUCCUUCCUGGGAUUGGUAUAGCCUUGGUUUCAGACUCUGCUACUUAUUAAUAAAAUGUGAGUUUUGGAGAUUGAUUUAGAGGAAAUAACUGAGACAGUUUAUUUUGUAGUCUAUCUAUAGCCUUUACCAUCUUUUACCACCAUUAUUCUAACAUUUGGAAUGAAAAAAUAGGAAAGAAUAGAUAGCGUAUUAAAAACAAUAGUGAUAAACUUAACAAUUUAUCUUUAGAUCUUAAUACAUCUUAUUUGGCUGGACUUCUUUACAAAGUCUUCUGCCUCCUGGGGCACUUGCUGAUGUGGUCCUGGGAAUAGGAAAGGAGGGGACAUGUAGACAUUUGAACUAUGGAUCUCCCAGGGAGUCACUACUUAAAGACUGUCCUCUUGGGUGAUCUCUGACUUUAAGUAGUCUUCAGUCCCAUGUUUGGGGUUUGACCAAAUAGGUCAAAUCAAUUUGAUCUUUUCCCAGUAAAAUAGUCCUGAUAGCCAUCACAUCUUGGAAAAUUUUCCCUUAUGAGUCAACCAAAGGGUUAGAAAAAAAUGGCUUUUAACAUAUCUAUGGUUUGAAUUUCAGCCCUUUAUAUCCCAAUGUGUCUGAUGUGGAGCAUGCAAGUGCCUUCCCUGAGUACCAAAUUCUGAGUACAAACCUGUGGCAAUAAUGAUAGUAUUAUCAGCUCUACAGGGAAGGCAUAAGGUUUACCUACUAUCUGAGAGAAUGUUUAUGAAACAUUAGGAGAAAUUUGACAAAAUUUAAUCUCUUCACUAAUUUCUAAGAUCAUCUGAAGUAAUAUUUAUUGAGCACCUCCAAGUGCACACAGCUUUACAUAUAGUGUCUUAUUUAAAAUAGUCAUCUCGAUAUUUCGAUGAGGAAGAUUCCAAUUUUAAAGAUAAGAAAAAUCAGCAGAUUUCUAGAGAGAUUAUAAGGCUAUACAAUCAGGAAGGUUUCAGGCUUAUGUUGAAUUUAGAUGGAGCUCACUCAGAAGUCUCUUUCCACUAUGUGAGAAUGCUACAUUGGGAAACAUCAUAGGUAUUAAGUAAAUAGUAGUGUCUGAAUUCUUAAUUUCUGAGGAAAUUUUUCACCUUCUUUCCAAGCAACAAAAGGGAGAUAAUGGAACUGAUUCUUAACAUAAAAUGCUUGACAAUGAUUAGUAUUUUUGAUCAAAAUUAAAUUUUUAGCAAAUAUGUUUUAUCUUUAAUUUUGAACUCAUUUUACAGCAUUUAUUAAUGCUGUUUAUUAACAUAUAUUUAAAGAUUAUGAUACAGUUGGUGCUUGCUUCUUUAUGCCAAGUAUAGAGGCUGCUGAUACAGAUUGUUCAAGAAUCAAUUGUGGCCUUGUUUGGUAUUUAUACUGAUGUUUGAUUACUGGGAUAGGAAUUUAUAAAAAAUAUAAAAAGUAAUUUCUAACUUCUAAAUUGUUUUCCAUGGGCUAGAAAAAGCUUAAUUACUUAUUUAUUUGUUUCUGCUUUGCUGUCUUUCAGGUUUCUCACUUCAUGCUAUAAAGUGGUAACAUUGCAUGUCAAACUGAAGCAAGACACCAGUCUAUGUUGAGUUGUGUUUGGCUCCUGCAUUGUUGUCAUAAAUUUAUUUUGGCUUCAGGGUCUUUCAGCUAGAUGACAAAACAUAAGAACAAAAAAUAUGAAUUCUGUCAUUAGAUGUCUUCAUCAUUUAGCUUAUUUAAUUGUGCUAAGAUCUUUUAAGAAAUAACAAAUACAGAAAUUUCUAGACUAUACUUCCAUGAAAGCCUAAAUCUUCUCAGGUAUUCAUGGAUUUAAAAAAUUGAAAUAUGCUAAAUGAUAUCCAAGGAUACUGUGAAAGCAAAGGCCCCAUAAAAUUUUGUAUUUACUUUUGAAUUUUAAUCUAGAGAAAAUGAGACUGCAUAAGAAAAACACAAUUUAUUUUAUAGGCCGAAGCAUCAGGUAUUACAAAUAUAUAUGAUUAGCUUCUCUCUCUUUUUAGUUCUCAUAGAUUUAGGUAGUAAUUCUACUUAGUCUUUGCUUUUAGCACUUAGAAUUAAGAAAUAUUGACUUUCAUCAGAGCUUAAUAGACAACUGGCUCCAAAACUAGAAGAUCAAUUUGAAUUCUUUAUAGUAGUUUGCAAUUAGUUAAUUCAGUUAAAACAAUAUAUUUGUUUAAAAAUAUUUAUUUUGUUAAUCAGCUACCAGACAUUAUACUAGGUAAUUCUUACAGAAGUGUGUAAGACAGAAAGUGUGGCUUCCCACAUAGACCUUAUAGAUUACAGAGUGAAGACAGAACUAAAGAAUUGAACCAAUAAUAAAAACAUCCAAUUUUCUGGAAAAAAAAAAAAAGGAGCUGCUGAUAGUAUAAGCGAAUACUUCUUUCAUGUAACACAAACUGAUGCUUAAAGAAGAAAAAGACACUCAGCCAUGCAAAGAUGUAGGUAAAGAGAAUUCUGGGUAGAAAAAAUAGCAUAAGUGAAAUAUUUCAGGCAUGGAAGAUCUAGGCACAUUUCAGGAACUGAAAGGAGGCCAGGAUGAUUGGGGUAGAGACAAUAGGUAGGCCAGGAGGUCAGAUGAUGUAGGCUUUGAAGGAGAAGAUGGAAUUUGGAUGCUGGUCAACAAUUUUAAAUCAGAGGGAGGGAGUGGAAGAAGAAAAGGGAAAGAAGGAGAGAGUGAG